GACGAACGCUGGCGGCGUGCUUAACACAUGCCAGUCGAACGGAAAGGCCCUGCUUUUGUGGGGUGCUCGAGUGGCGAACGGGUGGGUAACACGUGAGUAACCUGCCCUUGACUUUGGGAUAACUUCAGGAAACUGGGGCUAAUACCGGAUAGGAGCUCCUGCUGCAUGGUGGGGGUUGGAAAGUUUCGGCGGUUGGGGAUGGACUCGCGGCUUAUCAGCUUGUUGGUGGGGUAGUGGCUUACCAAGGCUUUGACGGGUAGCCGGCCUGAGAGGGUGACCGGCCACAUUGGGACUGAGAUACGGCCCAGACUCCUACGGGAGGCAGCAGUGGGGAAUAUUGCACAAUGGGCGGAAGCCUGAUCCAGCAACGCCGCGUGCGGGAUGACGGCCUUCGGGUUGUAAACCGCUUUCGCCUGUGACGAAGCGUGAGUGACGGUAAUGGGUAAAGAAGCACCGGCUAACUACGUG
rnacentral:rRNA from 1 species